AGAGGGUCAGGCAUGGUCUAGGGGAGUGUUGUGGCUGGUCGUAGGUGGUGGGGUUGACUGUUGGUGGGUAUGGCUUUGUGGUGUCGUAUGGGGUGGCUUAAGAAAGGGUGGUAGGAAUGAGUGAAGUGGGGAAACAAGAGGGGAAAGGGAAUGGAAAAAAGACCAUUAACUAAGGGAAUUAUAAAGGCCCAAGUACUAACGACUUGUUCAAAAAGUUGUCAUAAAAUGAACAGUUUAAGAUGAAAUACUCUGGGUUACAAGUAUCGCUCUCAUUAUUCAAAAUGUUUUGCAGAUGACCUGACUGAGUUAUUAGUCAACCCUCGAGUCCGCAGGCCAUCUCCGGCAACUGAUUAUGAGUUGGAGCUUCGAAGCUUUUCUCCUUUGAAACCCCAGAAGGAUUUCCGGUAUGUUUUCAUUUUUGUUAUUCAACGUUUUAUUCACUGAGAAAAGAGCGUAACUGUGGAUAAUUGGAUCUCUUUGUUACUUUUGCACAAUAAUUAAACCCUUGUGUAUUUAGUGGUUUUAAUGUUUUAUAAAGCCCUGUUGUUUUUAUAUUUUAAUGUCUCAACUUCACCCGAUGAACAUUUGGGAUGCGAUUCUAUGGAUUUGUUGAGAUGAUCGAUGUUCAUGACAUGGUUGCUGUGAGAUUGUUGUCAUAUCUUGAUUAAGAAAGUAAAUUCUGACGAGGAUAUGGAUGAACACUUUAGAACAUAGAGAUAUUUCAUGUCAUCAUUACUUUUGGCUUUAUUUUUUCUUCUUCUAUGUCAUAUCUAUAUUUUUUGCAUUUUGUACCAUUGAAUCUUAGGCAAAUACAUACGAGUAUAUAUCUUAACUCUAAAGUAUAAAAACAGGUUUUGAAUUUUAUUAUUUUGUUAAUUGAUGUGUGUUGUUAGGGUUGGACUUACAGAGUAGCCGUGUUUAGUCCCUGUUUCCUAUUCGCAGCAGUCUGUUUCUUCCUUGCGAAGAAACAUGGUUUCUUUGGUACACCUUGUUCACCUGUUGAGACCUCGGACAGGUAGAUUUUGUAUAUAUUAAUUAUCAAAUUAAUUAAGUAAUAAUCUCCUAUUUUUAUUAUAAUUAAUCAACUUUUUUUUUUUUUGAGGAUUAAUGCUUUUUCACUGGUUGGUUUAUGCAUUAUUGGCGUGGGACAAUUACUUAUUCAGAUUUUGACCUUUGAAAUCCUGGAUUGGUAUUAUCGAGUUGGGGUACUGAUUCUUUGCAUGGCGCUUAUGUUAUACGGCGUCAUGAAAAUACACCAGUGUUUUUGAGGCUGAUGAUUAGUUUAGGAUACUAUUUUUUGUUACGGUUACACCAUACUUUUGUGUUCUGUGAUAACAAUAUUACCGCGUACUCUUCAUGAAUCCAUGUAGGGCAUGUACCCCUUUUCCAUGCUCAGUCACGUAUGUAUCAUGGCUUUUCUAUUCUGAAAUGCCAGAGGGACAA